rnacentral:lncRNA from 1 species
CCAGAAUGUGAUCCAGCUUCGUUGUUCCCUCUGGCUUGUGGGGGCACGGCUGUGCUCCAUGUGGCAAGGUGGAAGGCAUGGACGUGUGGAGGAGGCGCUGGAGCUGAAGGAAUGGACGAGCCCUGGGAGGAGGGCAGAAGGCUACGCAGGGCUGAGGAUGAAGAUGCAGCCCCUGGAUGGUCCCAGACUCUCAGGACAUGCCCAGCUCAGGGGCUUCGAGCCACAGGCCUGGCCUCAUAUGGCAUGAGGGGGAGCUGGCAUAGGAGCCCCCUCCCUGCUGUGGUCCUGCCCUCUGUCCUGCAGACUGCUCUUAGCCCCCUGGCUUUGUGCCAGGCCUGGAGGAGGGCAGUCCCCCAUGGGGUGCCGAGCCAACGCCUCAGGAAUCAGGAGGCCAGCCUGGUACCAAAAGGAGUACCCAGGGCCUGGUACCCAGGCCCACUCCAGAAUGGCCUCUGGACUCACCUUGAGAAGGGGGAGCUGCUGGGCCUAAAGCCCACUCCUGGGGGUCUCCUGCUGCUUAGGUCCUUUUGGGACCCCCACCCAUCCAGGCCCUUUCUUUGCACACUUCUUCCCCCACCUCUACGCAUCUUCCCCCCACUGCGGUGUUCGGCCUGAAGGUGGUGGGGGUGAGGGGGGGUUUGGCCAUUAGCAUUUCAUGUCUUUCCCCAAAUGAAGAUGCCCUGCAAAGGGCAGUAACCACACA